UGGCGAACGGGUGAGUAACACGUGGGUAAUCUGCCCUGCACUCUGGGAUAAGCCUGGGAAACUGGGUCUAAUACUGGAUAUGACCUUUCUCCUUAUGGGGUUUGGUGGAAAGUUUUUCGGUGUAGGAUGAGCCCGCGGCCUAUCAGCUUGUUGGUGGGGUGAUGGCCUACCAAGGCGACGACGGGUAGCCGGCCCGAGAGGGUGAUCGGCCACAUUGGGACUGAGAUACGGCCCAG
rnacentral:rRNA from 1 species